UGUCUAUAUAUCAAAAUUUUUGUAAUUGUCUGCUCUACAACUCUUUGUAGAACAUUGUUUCACUCUAAAAAAUAAUCCUGCAAAGUUAGAAAAAACACGAAAUUUUAAAAUGAAAAAAUGACCCUUCUGGGACAAUGUAGAUUUGAAAAGUACAUUAAAUUUCCCAUAAAAUGACAUGUUCCAAAAUUUUUUACAGUCGAGUAACGGAAAAUGGGAGAAUUUUUAAAACUUUUUUAGUGUUUUUUUCGAUGAAAAAUACGUUUUUUCGGAAUUCUGAGUACGCCAUCAAAUCGGGCGUCUAAUUUUACAUAAAAGUCCCUUUGACACCAAAUUUCAAUCUCAUUACCGUUUUAGGCUGCAAAUUAUUGAAAAACACCUCUUUUUUCGCAUGUUCAAAAAUGGAAGGGGUCGUACCGCCCCUCCGUCACGAAAUAUCAAAAAACAGACCUCGGAUUCGUGAUCAGGGACAAAAGUUACCCCUUAGGACACAGUUUCACGCAAAUCGAAGAGGGGUCGGGGCAACUUUUCCCGAUUUCGUGUGAGUUGGUAGAGAAUUACCCAUACAACAUAAUAAAAAUAUAAGCUUAAAACUUGGUGAAAAUUUUACUCGGUUUCUACUUUUAAGGAAUUUACGAGAAAUUAAACAUCUUUUUUGAACAUAUUCAACAAAAUUUGUAAAAUGCUUUUUUUUAUAUUUUAAACAUUAAUCGAACUUAACAUGUUUUAUAAUAACAAUUAAAAAAUACAAAUAAGUACAAGUACAACAAAUUAAUUUGUGAGGCAUUAUUAUAAAAUUUACUGCAAAUUCAAUAAAAAUAUUGCUAACAACAGCUAAUUACUGACUACAUGUACGAAUAUUUUUCUGUAUUCAAGUAAGACAUUAGUUAAAAAUAUAGCCAGAAAUUCGGGCCAGCCUGUAUCGUUAAAUAAUUAAAGAAAAUAUAUAUAGACACUAACAUAAAUUAUGUUUAAUUAAGAAAUGUGAUGUUAUAAACCACUAAUAAUUUGCUGCAUGCAAAAAUAUUUCAGUCGAUACAACGAAGAAAAAUGUUAAAAAAUAGUUGAAAAAUAUGGUCCAGCCUGUUUUUUUACAGAAUAUUUAACAAUAUUUCAGCUGAAAACAAAAAAAAGUUAAUUUUCUGAAAAAAAUAUUAUAGCAGUCGACUGCUAGAAUUUUUUUUCGGUCAUUUAACCAACAAAAAUGGCAAAUCUUACUAUUUUUUUAGUUACUUUUACCUACUGGUGGUCAGAAAUUUCGGGAUAACAAAAUCAACAAUUGAUUGUUGAAAAAAAGCUGUGUAGAAAAUUAACCCAUAUUUUUAGUUAAAUUAACCAAGAAUUUCUUAGAUUUGCCCUGGCCGGUCUCUCCGUGUACAUUCAGCCAGCACCAAUCCUAGCCCAAGGCCAAAACCAAUGCUGGGGACAACAGCGGUCUUGUCAAUAUGCAGCAGGAUUUGUUGCCUUAGCCGCAGCUCCCGAACCAGCACAAUCCUCCACCGCCCAGCAGCCCCCAGCUCCAACAACAACAUCCCCCAUUGUCCUCGACGAAUCGAUACCAAUAACCUCGGAGAAAUCGACCGCCUGCCACAUAUCCCGCAUCGCAUCGAGCCGGAGUAACACCGUCGGCCAGUCCGGACCGCAGUAAAACAAACAAUCCCAGCAGGGCAUGAAUCCGGUACUGUCGAUUCUCUGGAUUACCUUAGGAAGACAACCUAUGGAAUGUUAACAUUAACCUUAACAUGUUAACAUUAAAUUGAUUAAUAAACUGUCACUGAAUCCGCUUUGCAAAUGCCGGCCCGAUACUCUUCACGGGUGUUCCCCUCAGGAACAGGGAAAGAUUUACUUUUAGCAUUAGCAUUAGCAUUUGGAGGACGCCCCACCACCGGAAGGCUCCACAACGCUUAUCCCACUGUUUGGUCUGGUUGUGUUAGACCCUCAUCCGGAACAAUAAUCCAACACGGGAGAUACCAUGUCUUCAUCUUUUGAUAAGUGUGUAAUACAGCCCAGGGCAUAAGGGGGUCCACGCCGGGUCCAAGCUAUCCUCGGGGAAAUGAAGGAAUGUUAGUAAACACCUAUCUAAAGUGCGCAGGGACCCCUACGUCACCUUAGUGGUAUAGAUGUUUGUAGGGUGGUUUUGGACUCAAUGUUAGUAGGAGAGGUAGAACCCUAGGAUAUACCCCGAAAGGUAUUGCGGGCGAAUCAAGUAGAGUUAGUUUUUUUUAUUAUUAAACUUAUACUUGUGACUGUAUAGUGUAAAAGAUGCAUGAUUUAUUUUUUUAUAUUUUAAGCCACGGCAGAUAUAACGCGACGAAGCCGUGUAUGAUGAAAUUGACUGUAGUAUUACUAAACUAACAAUUCAUUCCUGUAAAAGCAAUGCUGAUUAAUAAAACACAGUUUUAACAUGUCUGCUGUUAAACUCAAGCUACCGACUGUAAGAGUAAUUUAUAUUUUAUAUUUCCCUUUAAAUUAUGAUGUGUUUAAGCGGAAUUCGAGGUUAUAAAUGAUUUAACGCAUAGUUGAAAUAUUUGCAAAAAAUACAAAUUUGCUAUGCAAAUAUUCUGAAUUCGUCUAAAUAAUAUCAGGAUUACUCGAAAUGAUCAUUUUCUAGUUAAAAGAAGGUUUGCAAUUGAAUAUUCCAGCCGAUUCUCACCCACGUGGUAGCUACCUGACGUAUGGCGUCGCGGUGUUCUUCAAGCUUUCAUAGCAUGCUAAGGAAAAUGUGAUGCUUUUUGAGGGAAAACCGUUGGUUCCGGAGACAUCGGAUUGUUUGCCGAUGUGCCAGGUCUAGGGACAACGAAUCCAUAUGCUCUCUUCGGGAAAAGUGUUCUCCAGACCAUUCCCCAUAGGCCUGACCAUACCAGAAGUUGGCGCGUGAAUUUCCCAGACCUGUAGGAGCGUUUGAACAAAAAGUUCCAAUUUCCCAUAGUAAUUCCCAUGCAAACUUGAACCCUGAUGCGCGUAGCCAGUUUACAACCAAAUGAGCUGAUAUUUGGCAUGAAAGUCCCUAUGGGCAUGCCCUACAAGGGGAACCAUACUAAAACUUGAUCCGAGAACUUUUUGAAAACCCGAUUUAAUCCCACCUGGGGUGAGAUAGAGCCUUUCUUACAAAAGGAAGUUAACGGCAGUUGAUUUUUUUUCAAAGAAAUAGCAAUAUAAAGAAUGGUCCAUUCAUAAUACAAUUCGAAACUCAACCAUAUUUUUUCAUAUAACUGAAAAGCGCUGGUUUUUGCCCCAUUUGCCAUGGCCGGUUGUAAGCUGUGCUCGCACACAAGCAUUUUCGAUUUUUUAAAUCAGAACACAUUGUUUUUGAGACAGAGAAUUAGCUCACAAUUUGCGAUGUUCGUAAUGUUUUCUGCAUAUCGCUAAAUUGUUCGUAUUCUCUGAGUGUUUUUUUGCACUUUUCAAAAUAUUAAAAAUUAACGAGAAAACAAAAUAAUUCCGUCUUGCUCCAAUGCGUUAAAGUGGUUACAAAAUAACUGGCAGAAAGUGUUUCAACACCCGAGAAUUUGCCGUGUUGUAAACAACGAUGUAACGGUAAAGCCGCAUAAAUGUUCUUGAAAGCUUUGAAACGCCUACUGUAAUUCACUAAACUGUCAUUUAGGCGUUAGGCAAAAUUGUGAGCUUUCAAUAAGCAAGCAUUUAGGCGUUUUUGGGAUUGGGAAGCAUACAACGACUGAGCGAUCGGUGGGACUUCACUACGACAAACGCAAACGUACCGAAUAAACCACCUUGGUGCGCUGGUACGAUGAACAAAAAUACUAAUACACAAAAAGGCUAGUACCGAAGCUAGAAAACCAAACCCGCGAUGUGCGUUGUCACUGGCACAUGGGAAGCUUGAACGCUUCCCAGAAAUUCGUUCGCUCAGAGUUCGAUCAGAGAAUGAGCAAAACAAAAAAGAAAGGCAAAAGAAUGAGCAUGAGGCUUCAGAACAGAUAGCUGCUUGCGUCUAGUUUGCGUUAACUGAAGCUUAGCAUAGAAAAUAAUGAUAGGCGAUGUGUGAUGAACGAGCAAUCGAUAAAGCAACUUGCACUAAAAGGGGGUAAUCUAGUAUCAAAACUCUAUACGCGCCAGCAUCACGCGCCAGCAUAGCUCGCGUCUGCAUGUGAAGCUCAACUUGACAACUUGUCGACGAGGCGACGAAAAUCGAUCGUCCAUGAUUUUUUGCAGAUUUUUCGAAUGAAUAUUUCUCGAGAAAUGAUUUGGGAACGAAGCUUGAUUUGGCGUCGGAGCCAAAAGCAAACACUAUACCUUUCUUUAGUAAGAAAGGCAAAAAUGGAAAUUUUCUAAAAUCUGAACGGUAAAUCCAAAUGAGGUCAAAUUUGUUUCAGAACAUCGAGUAUGGUCUAGAUUAUGAUGUGGAGAAAAAAAAUUAGAUAAAAUGCCAAAGGAAUAGUUUUGGCAUUUGGUGAAAAUUGGCUUUUACCUUUUUUAGGGGUUUUUCCCCCUCACAGUGAAUUAGUCCACAAGCUGUAAAUCAAAAACCACAUUACCGACAUGGAUGAAAAUUUGGGAGGAUGUAGGGCUGGAAAAAUGCAAUUUUUUGGACAAAUAAACGAUUUCAAUACUUCAAUUUUCGACCGAAUUUUCAUUUGAAAACCGCCUGAUUUGGUGAAAACACACUCCGAGUCCCCAUAAAAAAUGGAUAAAUUCAAAUUUGGUAUGGAACUGGUUCAGGUUCAGCACAUCCCCUUUCAAAUGCGCCCAAGAGAGCUUAAAUCCAUAAUGUGGGCUCUGAGAAACCCCCUACCACAAAAUUGAGCACUUUUUUACCACACACGGACGUCACGCGUGCUCUACAGUAAAUUAAGCGCCAAAAUUCGGAUAUUGGAGGUAGACGAAUUCUGUCAUUGUCAAUCGAUCGGGCGUCGAAAAUCGAUCGUCCAUGAUUUUUUGCAGAUUUUUCGAAUGAAUAUUUCUCGAGAAAUGAUUUGGGAACGAAGCUUGAUUUGGCGUCGGAGCCAAAAGCAAACACUAUACCUUUCUUUAGUAAGAAAGGCAAAAAUGGAAAUUUUCUAAAAUCUGAACGGUAAAUCCAAAUGAGGUCAAAUUUGUUUCAGAACAUCGAGUAUGGUCUAGAUUAUGAUGUGGAGAAAAAAAAUUAGAUAAAAUGCCAAAGGAAUAGUUUUGGCAUUUGGUGAAAAUUGGCUUUUACCUUUUUUAGGGGUUUUUCCCCCUCACAGUGAAUUAGUCCACAAGCUGUAAAUCAAAAACCACAUUACCGACAUGGAUGAAAAUUUGGGAGGAUGUAGGGCUGGAAAAAUGCAAUUUUUUGGACAAAUAAACGAUUUCAAUACUUCAAUUUUCGACCGAAUUUUCAUUUGAAAACCGCCUGAUUUGGUGAAAACACACUCCGAGUCCCCAUAAAAAAUGGAUAAAUUCAAAUUUGGUAUGGAACUGGUUCAGGUUCAGCACAUCCCCUUUCAAAUGCGCCCAAGAGAGCUUAAAUCCAUAAUGUGGGCUCUGAGAAACCCCCUACCACAAAAUUGAGCACUUUUUUACCACACACGGACGUCACGCGUGCUCUACAGUAAAUUAAGCGCCAAAAUUCGGAUAUUGGAGGUAGACGAAUUCUGUCAUUGUCAAUCGAUCGGGCGUCGAAAAUCGAUCGUCCAUGAUUUUUUGCAGAUUUUUCGAAUGAAUAUUUCUCGAGAAAUGAUUUGGGAACGAAGCUUGAUUUGGCGUCGGAGCCAAAAGCAAACACUAUACCUUUCUUUAGUAAGAAAGGCAAAACGUACCCACCCUAAUGAACAUCUUCAUGGAAUACAACUCAACAAUUGGAAUUUCACCUAAGCAAACCCUCACCGACCUGGAAACCUACAGGAAAUAUGUAACAACUAGAAGACUUCAAUACCUGCAGCAUUCGCGCGAAGCCGCCAACAAAUUUUACCUGCCGACUACAUCGUCGAAUUUUUACAAGCAUUGACGCCUUCUAACACGGAAGAAGAAAUGACACCCUCGCAAGAGGCAGUAAGUACUAUUAAUAAUUUAAGUAUGUCUCCAAAAAUUUCUUCAACGGAACAACAGAAUGCGAAUGAAAUUCUAAUUUAUUGUCAGAAUUUCAAUCGCAUGAAAAGCCCAGGCAAAAUGAAGGAAAUUUCUUUAAACAUUCUCUCACAUUCUUUCGACAUUAUUCUUGGAACUGAAACUAACUGGGACGAAAGCGUCCACCCUGAAGAAAUUUUUGGAAACAAUUAUUUUGUAUUCCUAGACAAUAGAAAUUUAAAUCUCAGUCAGAAAAAGUCAGGAGGCGGCGUCCUCUUAGCCAUAAAUGCCAGACUUAAUCCAAAAGAAAUUGUAACUGAAAAACAUUUUCAAUUUGAACAAGUCUGGGCCAAAGCCACUAUUUCAGGCAUCAGUAGGAAUUGAAGGACUUAGACUCAUCAAAAGGACCAGGACCCGACGGAAUAGCACCUGCAUUCCUAAAGAACCUUGCAGAAGAAUUGACAUUUCCACUGCAUCAUCUUUUCAACAUGUCAAUAAAUACUGGAAAAUUCUCACAAACAUGGAAAAAGUCUUUUUUGGUGCCUAUUUUCAAGUCAGGCCCAAAAUCAGACAUACGUUAUUAUCGCGGAAUUGCCCUUUUGUCUUGCAUUCCAAAACUUUUUGAAUUUAUUAUAAAUGAAAAAAUCUUUCAGCAAGUAAAAAACCGCAUCACAUGUAAACAGAACGGCUUUUUUAAAGGCCGCUCUACUAGCACCAACCUUUUAGAAUUUGUAAAUUUUACACUGAAUGCAAUGCAUAAUCGCAAUUUCGUAGAAGCAAUUUUACACAUACUUUAGUAAGGCAUUUGACAGAAUCGACAUACCAUUAUUAAUCUUCAAACUGCAGAAAAUUGGAAUUCAACCGAAUCUUUUGGAAUGGCUUAAGUCAUAUUUGACUAAGCGCGAACAAAUUGUUCGCUUCCAAAAUGUACUAUCGGAAUCAAUUCACGUCACCUCUGGGGUUCCGCAAGGAUCCCAUCUAGGACCUCUUCUUUUCAUCUUGUAUGUAAACGACAUUUCCAUCAUUCUUAAAAAAAUUAACGUACUUGUAUAUGCAGACGACAUGAAAUUGUACAUGAAAAUAGGAAAUGCCAAUGACAGUCACCGUGGUGUAGGGGUAAGCGUGGUUGCCUCUCACCCAGUCGGCCUGGGUUCGAUCCCAGACGGUCCCGGUGGCAUUUUUCGAGACGAGAUUUGUCUGAUCACGCCUUCCGUCGGACGGGAAGUAAAUGUUGGCCCCGGACUAACCUAAAAAGGUUAGGUCGUUAGCUCAGUCCAGGUGUAGGAGUCGUCUCCCUGGGUCCUGUCUCGGUGAAGUCGCUGGUAGGCCGUUGGACUAACAAUCCAAAGGUCGUCAGUUCGAAUCCCGGGGUGGAUGGAAGCUACGGUGUAAAAAGAGGUUUGCAAUUGCCUCAACAAUCAAGCCUUCGAACACCUAGUUUCGAGUAGGAAUCUCGCAAUCGAGAAACGCCAAGGCAAUGCUGUAGAGCGAAUAAUUUGAUUUUUUUUACAAUGACAGUCAUGUAUUCCAAAACGAAAUUAAUCUUUUCUACACAUGGUGUAGUAAAAGCCUACUCCAAUUGAAUGUAAAGAAAUGUAAUUCCAUUGCCUUCAGCAGAAAACAUGAAACACCAAACAUAACAGUAUUAUUAGGAAACCAACCAGUAGAAAAAUGCAAAGUAGUACGUGAUCUAGGUGUCAUCCUAGACUCACAACUAACUUUUGUAGAACACUAUAACACAAUAAUAAACAAGGCAAAAAGUACAUUAGGCUUUAUAAAGCGCUUUGCAUUCAACUUCCAGGACCCGUAUACUAUUAAAUUACUCUAUAUAACGUAUGUCAGGCCACUCUUGGAAUACUGUAGUAUCGUCUGGAAUCCAUACUAUGCCGUACACCAAGCACGAAUUGAAUCUGUCCAAAAACAAUUCUUACUGUACGCACUACGUAAACUAAACUGGACUGCAUUUCCUCUCCCAUCGCAUGAAGCACGCUGCAUGCUCAUAAACAUACAAUCAUUACAUGAACGUCGUAAAUAUGCCAUGCUCUCUUUCAUCAACGACAUUAUUUCUCAACGCAUACAGUCAGCAGCAUUAUUUUCAGUAAUACGCAAUAGUAUUCAUGAACCAAGCCGUACUCUUAGACAUUCACCAGUUUUUAGAAUAACUGCAUACACGACAAAUUAUUUAAAAAAUUCACCAUUAAAUCAAAUGAUGCACUUUUAUAAUGAAAGUUCACAGUACAUACAUUUCGACAUGUCUAAACCGGAACUACGAAAAAAUCUGUACAAUAGAAAUAAUAUCUAGUAUGUAAGAAAAUUGUAAGUAGUCUACAUAAGCUUGACGAAUAAACAAUAAAUAAAUUCAAUACGAAUUCCCGAGCAGGGGUAAAUAUCACGGGAAUACCAAAUUUUAGUAUUACUUGAGCAAAUAACAGCGACCAAAAUGUGCCCUUGGUUGCCCAGUAAUAGAUGGUAAAAUACCAUGAAAUCAUACCAAAGUCUUGUAUGUGGAAGGGCACAACCAGGCCUGCAAAAAGUUUCCAACCCAGCGUACACAUGAAGCAAACCAAAAUGUCAGUUCACUGCUAGCAUAUGACUGUGAGCCUACUGUGUCUGUUCAACCACUGCCGCCUGACUCGUGCCGGUCGGCUGCUGGAGAAUGAGAGACGUGAAAAAAUGAGCUACACUCACUCAAUUCGUGUCAUAUGACUGACUCGUAAAAUCUUCUUUAAACACUAUUUCGACUAUUUUCAAACAGUUGAAUGGUUGUAGACUGUGCAAAACACUUAAAACAACCAUAACUUAUAUUCAAAAUUACAUUUCCACGCAUAAAUACGAACUUUUUGUGUAAAAACUUGUUUCUUUAUGUGUGUGCGUGCAACGUCGAAUGAGCGUUGGUCGACUACUGCCUCGCAUUGCAGCUGCUCAAUGAGCUAGGGCACUCACGACUGCGCCGGGUUUGUUUAUGUCACGGUUUUGCGGUUCAGUGAAUGGAUCUCAAAAAAUCGUGUCAGCGUCGCCGAUUUUCGAGUCAUGACCCCUGACAUUUUCAGCACUGGGCACAACAAUACCAAACCAUGUUAUUCCAAGGGUAAAAUAAUACCUCAAAAUAGAACCAUUUCAAGACCAAGUUGAGGUCUUCUGGAUUUUUGAACAUUGCUUGAAUACCAAAACUUGGUUUUAAUUUUAGGUAUUCCCGCGCCAUUGGAAAAUCAUAUUUUGGUAUUCCUGUGGUCUUCCACAUACAUGAUUUUGGUAUGAUUUCAUGGUAUUUUACCAUCUAUUACUGGGCAACCAAGAUCACAUUUUGGUCGCUGAUAUUUGCACAAGUAAUACCAAAAUUUGGUAUUUUCAUACCAUUUUUAGUGCAGCAGUUGCAGUUAGUGAAAAAACGGAAAUGAUCCAUAUGCAACAGCCAAAUCUACUCACCUGAUGAUUCCAUGUUGUUCUUAGUGAUAUUCUUCACCACACCGAAUGCAUUUGUCAUUGAUGUACGGCCUGUGCAUGAAGUUCUUGAAGAUUCUGAAAAAUAACAAGAUUGAAAAAUAUUAAAAUAAAACUGGAUUGAAAUUCACCAAAAUUCAAUAAUCUUUCGAUUGACUCGUUUUUCAAAGUAUUUGGUUUUUUUUUCAAGUCAUUUUAGCGCAAAAUUUAUUAUCUUGUCCAAAUUGGUAAAAAAAAUCCCAUGGUUUCAGAGAAAAUUGAUGAAACCUUUCAAUACCAAAAUAAUACCAAAAUGUGCCAUUCUGACUUAGAAAAUUUUCCACAAUUUCAAGUCAUUUCUGUAGGGGGUAUAUCAAAAAUGUUUAAAAUCAAGUUUGAAAUUUCCGGUUUUCAAUUAAAGCAUUCGCUUUGAGACAUAAUUUUAGCGCAAAAUUAAUUAUUUUGUCAAAAUUGGUCAAAAUUUCCCCAUAGUUUCAGAGGAAUUUGAUAAAACACUGUAAUACCAAAAGAAUACCAAUAUGUGGUGUUCGACCAUUGACAAAUUCUGCAAUUUUGCAAUAUCAAAACAAUACCUUAAAUUGGUAUGAUACCACAUUUUGCUCUUGCAUAAUCCUCAAGACAAAUUUUAAAGGGUCCAGGAAUACCAAAAUUUGGUAUUGAUACCAGAGAAAGGUAUUAUUACGCAUUUCUCUUGUUAUUUACCCAUGCUCGGGUUCUGAAACGGAACCUAAUCAGAUUCCGUUUCAGAACUCGAAAUGAACUGACUGGGUCUGAUCGUUGUGCAUCAGAUACCUAAGUGUGUGCUCAACAUGGAGCGAACUCACCGAGAAUGUUACACCAAUACAUCGGCACUGUUGGUUCGACCGCCUUCACACUCUGAGGGAAAGAUUUACUUUUAGACCAAAAUCAUGUAUGUGGAAGACCACAGGAAUACCAAAAUCUGAUUUUCCAAGGGCGCA